AAGGGCAUGAUGAGAAUAAGCUAGGAUUCCAAGUUGGUCGAGAUCUGAAAUUACUUGACAACAAUUAAACUUGCACUGGUUGUGCUACCCUAAUGUAUUCAACAAAUUUAUGACCUUGGUCAACGAGCUUGGGUAAUCUUUGAAACUUCAUUGUGAUGGGGAUAGAUCAUUGCAAUUUUUGGUUUUCAACGAGGAAUUCCUAGUUAGCACGAGUCAUAAGCUUGAGUUGAUUGUGUCCUUGCCCUU
rnacentral:ncRNA from 1 species